rnacentral:rRNA from 1 species
CUUGCUUUCUUUGCUGGCGACCGGCGCACGGGUGAGUAACACGUAUCCAACCUGCCCUUUACUCGGGGAUAGCCUUUCGAAAGAAAGAUUAAUACCCGAUAGCAUAAUGAUUCCGCAUGGUUUCAUUAUUAAAGGAUUCCGGUAAAGGAUGGGGAUGCGUUCCACUAGGUUGUUGGUGGGGUAACGGCCCACCAAGCCUUCGAUGGAUAGGGGUUCUGAGAGGAAGGUCCCCCACAUUGGAACUGAGACACGGUCCAA